rnacentral:rRNA from 1 species
AUUGAACGCUGGCGGCAUGCUUUACACAUGCAAGUCGAACGGUAACAGGUUAAGCUGACGAGUGGCGAACGGGUGAGUAAUGCAUCGGAACGUGCCCGAUCGUGGGGGAUAACGCAGCGAAAGCUGCGCUAAUACCGCAUACGAUCUGAGGAUGAAAGCGGGGGACCGUAAGGCCUCGCGCGAUCGGAGCGGCCGAUGUCAGAUUAGGUAGUUGGUGGGGUAAAGGCCCACCAAGCCGACGAUCUGUAGCUGGUCUGAGAGGACGACCAGCCACACGGGGACUGAGACACGGCCCAGACUCGUAGGGGAGGGAGAAGUGGGGAAUUUUGGACAAGGGGCGAGAGCCUGCUCGAGCAAAGCCGCGGGCGGGAAGAAGGCCUUGGGGUUGUAAACUGCUUUUGGACGGAGCGAAAAGGUCCUUUCUAAUACGAGGGGCUCAUGACGGUACCGUAAGAAUAAGCACCGGCUAACUACGUGGCAGCAGCCGCCGUAACAC